rnacentral:pre_miRNA from 1 species
AGGGGUGCUAUCUGUGGUUGAGGACACGGCAAAUGAAACUGUCUCACACAGAAAUCGCACCCAUCU